UACGAAGGGGGCUAGCGUUGCUCGGAAUCACUGGGCGUAAAGCGCACGUAGGCGGCUUUCUAAGUCAGAGGUGAAAUCCCGGGGCUCAACCCCGGAACUGCCUUUGAUACUGGAGAGCUUGAGUUCGGGAGAGGUGAGUGGAACUGCGAGUGUAGAGGUGAAAUUCGUAGAUAUUCGCAAGAACACCAGUGGCGAAGGCGGCUCACUGGCCCGAUACUGACGCUGAGGUGCGAAAGCGUGGGGAGCAAACAGG
rnacentral:rRNA from 1 species